CCUACGGGAGGCAGCAGUGAGGAAUAUUGGUCAAUGGGCGUAAGCCUGAACCAGCCAAGUCGCGUGAGGGAUGAAGGUUCUAUGGAUCGUAAACCUCUUUUAUAAGGGAAUAAAGUGCGGGACGUGUCCCGUCCCGUAUGUACCCCCUGCACACGGACGUGCCCACGCCGUGCCAGCAGCCGCGGUAAUACGGAGGAUCCGAGCGUUAUCCGGAUUUAUUGGGUUUAAAGGGUGCGUAGGCGGCCUUUUAAGUCAGCGGUGAAAGUCUGUGGCUCAACCAUAGAAUUGCCGUUGAAACUGGGAGGCUUGAGUAUGUUUGAGGCAGGCGGAAUGCGUGGUGUAGCGGUGAAAUGCUUAGAUAGCACGCAGAACCCCGAUUGCGAAGGCAGCCUGCCAAGCCAUGACUGACGCUGAGGCACGAAAGCGUGGGGAUCAAACAGGAUUAGAUACCCCAGUAGUA
rnacentral:rRNA from 1 species